CUGUCCUCUGAUGAUCUGGUCACACUGCUCACAUGCACACUGGAACGUAGCGUGAACUACUCUAAAGAAGCAUGGACGCUUUUCUUCCAGAAUUUUGCUGGACCUUUGGAUGAAGCACUGGACAAGUUUUCAAACAUGGUAUGACAAUUUGAUUGGUGCUAAAAAAAAAUUUAAAAAAAAACAUUUGUGCAUAAUUAUGCAUUGAAGUAUGUAAUCUUUGAUGUAGACCCACAGCAGCGUUCAAUCUGACCCAAAACUACUUGAUGCCAUCGGGGAGGUGAUAAUCAAGAACUUCACCACGGCGCAGCUGAUGAAUGCCACUUUCAUCACACAGUGGUUCCAGAUGAGACUCAGACCAUUUUUGUCAUCAGUUUCCAGAGACUUUUUGUCCAGCCUCAGUUCCAAAACCUUCAGCUGUGAGAGCUACCAAAAUGUGGUGGAAGCUCUCAGUAGUCAAGAAUCACUCAUGACAGAGGAACAGAAGCAGUUUGUCUUUACUUCCUUCAUCUUUCCCUUCCUGUCAAGAAGGCAGCUGCCAGACCCUGGCUGUGUUUCCAACACUUCUAGCAGCAUUAACUGGCUCGAAAAGAACCUUGGCGAUUUCUCCAAUUAUGCGUCUUUGGAAGAGCUGAAAAUUCUA
ensembl:lncRNA